rnacentral:rRNA from 1 species
UACGGGGGGGGCAAGCGUUGUUCGGAAUUACUGGGCGUAAAGCGCGCGUAGGCGGACCUGCAAGUCGGGGGUGAAAGCCCGAGGCUCAACCUCGGAACUGCCUUCGAUACUGCGGGUCUCGAGUCCGGGAGAGGUGAGUGGAAUUCCUAGUGUAGAGGUGAAAUUCGUAGAUAUUCGGAAGAACACCAGUGGCGAAGGCGGCUCACUGGCCCGGUACUGACGCUGAGGUGCGAAAGCGUGGGGAGCAAACAGG